rnacentral:misc_RNA from 1 species
GUAGGUGAACCUGCGGAAGGAUCAUUAUAGAAUAAACCCAAAGCUCAGACUGUUGCUGGCUCUUAGGAGUAUUUGUGCACGUCUAGCGUGUUUUUCUUUAACCCACCUGUGAACCUUUUGUAGAUUUGAGAAACAUCACCUUGUCGAUAACAUUCGGUUAGAAGAUUGCAAUGCGCAAGUUUGCUCUCUUUGAAUGUUUUUCAAUCUAUGUAUUUAUUAUCAACUCUAAAAACAAACAUAGAAUGUAUAA